rnacentral:rRNA from 1 species
UACGUAGGGGGCAAGCGUUGUCCGGAUUUACUGGGCGUAAAGAGCACGUAGGCGGAAGCUUAAGUGUGGCCUGAAAGCCCCCGGCUCAACCGGGGAAGGUGGCUGCAAACUGGGCUUCUUGAGGGGGAUAGAGGAAAGUGGAAUUCCGGGUGUAGCGGUGAAAUGCGUAGAGAUCCGGAGGAACACCGAUGGCGAAGGCAGCUCGCUGGGACGUUACUGACGCUGAGACGCGAAAGCGUGGGGAGCAAACAGG